AUGGCCUUUUUUCUGCAUGGGGGCCUGCUCUGUUCUCCUUUUUUUUGUGCCCAUCUCACCAACUCUUUUCACAUGCAUGACCAGUUUUCGUUCCCGGCACUAGAGGUUCUUGACAAGGAGAAUCCAAAGGAGUCGGGCCACUACUGGUCGAUGGUGUUGAAAAUUAGGGACAAGCGUUUCAAGAUGCUAGACUCGGCAAGGACGCUCAAAGAUAAGGCAUUCCUGUCAACCGCAAACAAAAUCAUGGAGGGGAUUAAAGCAAAUUGGGAGAAGCACUAUAACACCUCAAGCGUGCAGAUCAAAGAUUGCAAACUACAAGAAAUCAAAUGCCCAAAGCAGGACAACAUGCAAGUCUAG
rnacentral:rRNA from 1 species